UCCUCAAACACAUCCAGAAUGGACAUUUUGAUCACAGUCCAAGGACACCUUUACAUCUGGCUUAAUUUGUGAUAACUGGACUAAUCUUUACAGAAUGGAAAACGAUGGAAUAGAUACUUUCAGAGGAAACUAGGAAGACCUCUAUAUGAUGCAGAGUGAAGUGAGCAGAACCAGGAGAACAAUUUAUACAAUGACAACAUUACAGAGAAAAAAGCUUUGUAACAUUUGAGAACUCUGAUCAAUGCAAUGACUUGACAAAGGACCAGAGGAAGGAAGAUGAGGAAGCUGAGGCGUAUGCCAAGGGCCACACAGUUA